GCAGUGAUGACUGCACAGCAGGUUGUGUCCUUCCAAACACAGUGUCUGUGCUUAUGGGGCACCUGUAAGAAGACUCAGAGGAUGGCUGAGGAUGGAGGCCAAGAGAUAGCAGAAGUGCAUCAGAAAGAUCAAAAAAGAACUCAUCUUUUCAACUGGCCUGCACGUCUGCUUGCGAAGUUUCAUUUAGGCACACACGUCACUCCUGAUAUCCCCAGAGCACUUUGCGUGAGACCACCAGGCUGAAGAGGUAGAAGAACAUUUGAGGCUGAGUUGUGCAUCACCAAAGCUGGAGCACACCUACGUCAGAGGCAACGCUGAGCUACUACCGCAGCAUUCAAGGUAGAAGAUGAGGCACCAUGAAUCUGGAUUCAGGAAGCACAUGCAAAGUAGUCUAGUUCUGCAAAGAAAGGAGGAUGUUCUGUCUGUGAACUCCGUGUAUGGAUCAGAGAAACCAAACCAGGCAACAUGCUAACAAACAAAAGAAAAAUGAUCACAGACAAGUUAUUACAGAAGGUAUAGGUCACAUGUCAAAACUCACUGUCUUCCUUAAGGUGAGGCCUGUCAGCUUCCUGGCAUGGAGCAUCACUGAAAAGUUAGCAAGGAUAAGGUGAACCCAGGACAACCCAGAUGCUCUCUGUUGUAUUUGAAGCUGACAAAAAGUACGUUUUGCCCCACGAUAUUCAGUCAGCUCCUGAAAGUUACAGAAAUCAGACCAGACCAAGAGUUCAGAGGUCCCAGGUCAUUCAACUAGCUGAUGUUAGAAACAGAUCUCCUAGGUGCCUGUCCUCUGCUUUAGAAACCAGGUAGAACUUGCUUUUUAUUAGUUUGUCUGCCUCAGUUAUGUCUCAGCUACACUGAGUGAGAGCUUUGGAACCAGAGUUUCCGAAAUUGUCUUAUUUCCCUUGAAAUCCUCAGUUCUAUAAUAUUGUCCUUUGAAAUCCCAGUGGUGGUGACAAGAAUUUUCCUGUGAUGCAAGUGGCAGGUCCGUUACAUCAGCGUGAUACUUCUUGUAUGUCCCAGUGGACAUUGUGUUGCCGCAGUUCGGUUGUCUUUCUCUGAAGAGACCGAAACAACAUUGAGUCAUUACAGAUUAUAUGGAACUUUUAACAGCAGAAAAGCCUGAAGUCCAGUGCCAUCACGAAAGUCCAUAGCCAUGCUGCUCUUACGAAUCCCUUCUGUAGUCAGAGCUUGACAUAGACCUGUGUGGCUUCAGCUUUCUAUCAAGAGAGAGCUGCAGAUUCACCCCACCAUGGACUCUAGUGUUAUCGCUCUGACAAAAUGGUGAACCUCAGCUGGCAUAAAUGAAUGCAAUCCUACCAAUGCUAGCUGAACUCACCUGCCUUAGAUAGCCGAGGAUCUAGCCUGUUAGCCUUUCCUGUAUACUGAAUAAGAUGAACAUUUGAAAAUAUAAAUGCAAUUUUCUACUUGAGAACUUUCUGCAGCUGGGUGCCUGGCUCAGUACUUUUCUAUUGUCGACUUAUGCAGUACAAGAACUGCAAAACAAUUUUAUCAGAAUUUAAUCAAAUCUGUGCUGUGACCUGCAAUGCAGUGUAAUUCAUAUAAGUAAAAUCUCUGAUUGCUGUGAUGCUGAGCAUGGACAUCAGGGCAUGAUGUUUGGACCUUAUUGCAAUCAGUGGUGAGCUUUCCAUGCUCACCCAGUUACCACAACAAGACCUUACCAGCUAAAUCCUGUCAUGCACUAGUCGUUAGCCUCUGACUGAAAUGGGACCGCAAUUCUAUCUUAUAUCUAAUGUUACACUUUGGAUAGCAUUAGGGGAUUAACAUUAAAGGAUAACAUUACGGCAUAACAUUAAGAUGUUUUUCUUUCUUGGGAGGAUUAUGAAAGAAAAAUACAGGAGAGUGUAAUAGAAGGUGUUUUGGCAAA